CAGGGAUUGCCUUAGUAACUGCGAGUGAAGCGGCAAAAGCUCAAAUUUGAAAUCGGUGCCCAUCUAUUGCAUCGAGUUGUAAUUUGGAGGGACAACUUCGGGNCUGAACCACAUCGUAAGUUCCUUGGAACAGGACGUCAUGGAGGGUGAGAAUCCCGUGUCUUGAUGUCGGGUCAAACCAUGUGAAGUGUCUCCGACGAGUCGAGUUGUUUGGGAAUGCAGCUCAAAAUGGGUGGUAAAUUUCAUCUAAAGCUAAAUAUUGGCGAGAGACCGAUAGCGCACAAGUAGAGUGAUCGAAAGAUGAAAAGCACUUUGAAAAGAGAGUUAAAAAGUACGUGAAAUUGUUGAAAGGGAAGCGCUUGCGACCAGACUCGAUCUUUGGUGUUCAGCCGGACUCCGUUCCGGUGAUCCCUCGCCAUUGAUUGGGCCAGCAUCGGUUCCGACGGUGGGAUAAAAGGAGGAGGAAUGUGGCUCCCUUCGGGGGAGUGUUAUAGCCACCUUCACAAUGCUGCCAGUUGGGACCGAGGACCGCGCUUCGGCUAGGAUGCUGGUGUAAUGGUCUUAAGCGACCCGUCUUGAAACACGGACCAAGGAGUCUAACAUCUAUGCGAGUGUUCGGGUGGAAAACCCUUGCGCGUAAUGAAAGUGAACGGAGGUGUGAACCCUUUACUGUACGGGGUGCAACAUCGACCGGUCCUGAUGUCUUCGGAUGGAUCUGAGUAAGAGCAUAGCUGUUGGGACCCGAAAGAUGGUGAACUAUGCCUGAAUAGGGUGAAGCCAGAGGAAACUCUGGUGGAGGCUCGCAGCGGUUCUGANCGUGCAAAUCGAUCGUCAAAUUUGGGUAUAGGGGCGAAAGACUAAUC
rnacentral:rRNA from 1 species